rnacentral:rRNA from 1 species
AUUGAACGCUGGCGGCCGGCCUAACACAUGCAAGUCGAACGAGUGGCGGACGGGUGAGUAAUGUCUGGGAACCUGCCUGAUGGAGGGGGAUAACUACUGGAAACGGUAGCUAAAACCGCAUACCACCCGUUGUGGCCCGAGGGGAUUAGCUGGUUGGUGGGGUAACGGCUCACCAAGGCGACGAUCCUUAGCUGGUCUGAGAGGAUGACCAGCCACACUGGGACUGAGACACGGACCAGACUCCUACGGGAGGCAGCAGUAGGGAAUAUUGGACAAUGGGCGCAAGCCUGAUGCAGCCAUGCCGCGUGUAUGAAGAAGGCCUUCGGGUUGUAAAGUACUUUCAGCAGGGAGGCGGUACCCGCAGAAGAAGCACCGGCUAACUCCGUGCCAGCAGCCGCGGUAAUAC